rnacentral:rRNA from 1 species
GACAGAGGGUGCAAACGUUGUUCGGAAUUACUGGGCGUAAAGCGCGUGUAGGCGGCCCUGCAAGUCGGGUGUGAAAUCCCACGGCUCAACCGUGGAAGUGCACUCGAAACUGCAGGGCUAGAGUCCUGGAGAGGAAGGUGGAAUGCUUGGUGUAGAGGUGAAAUUCGUAGAUAUCAAGCGGAACACCGGUGGCGAAGGCGGCUCACUGGACCGGUACUGACGCUGAUGCGCGAAAGCGUGGGGAGCAAACGGGG